UGUGGAUGGGGAAGAAAGAGGCGGAAAUCUGUGGAGACUGGGGAGAAAGACUGACUGGAGGUGAAGGGAGUUGCAGGAAUGUGGAAGAUCAGAUGGAGGGAAGGAAUAGAGGGAAGAAGGGGAGAAACCAGGAGAGGAGAGGGAAGCAAAGUGGGCAGGACGCCCUCCAGGGUGGGUGCUAAAGGAGCACAGUAGAGGUGAGGAAAGAAAUUGCAAAACUACUGCCCAGGAGGCUUGUGUAUUUUACAAUUCUAGAGGUAACAGGAUAGCUCCCUUAUCCAGCCUGAAGGCAGUGACUGAACUCAUUGUGUCCAGGGUCCCCCUCCUUCCUCUCCUGAUUUGUGGUGUCAUGUAGGGAGUGUAGGAGAUAGAAAGGACAAUUAAAGUGUUUUUGCUUUUGUCAUGCUGAAUGCAACAGUGACCACUCAGCAGAGAGUUUUUCACCUCUGGUCAUGUAAAUGUGUGGCGAUUUCUCCCCACCAACAAAG
rnacentral:lncRNA from 1 species